UUCUUUUUUUUUUUUUAAAAAAAAUUCACCUCCUCGGUUUCACUCCACGAUAUCUAGGUUUUCACCUCGUCUCCUCUCCUCCAUAAUAAUAUCUCUCGCUUUUUUGUUCACAUUUCUCCGUUAAUCGUGAGUUCAUUUUCUCGCAUUUAUCUUUUUCGUUUUCGACCCACGGAUCAGAUCCAGAUCCGUGCUUUGUUUGUUGUUUCCCUCCUCCUCCCUCUCGAUCCUGCUCCAAAAAAUGUCGUAUAAUUAUAAGUUUUUACCAAAACGACGGGGAGAGGUCACGUACAUGAGCUCUUGUUUUCUCUGUAUAAAUGUUGGUGAGAUGAGGUGAUCAUUUUUUAUUGUUGUGGGUUUUGAUGUGAUGCUCUUCUGUGGUUUUCUUCGAGAAAUGGAGAAGCGGGUGGUUAGGGUUUGGGUUAGGGUUCUUGAAGUGGAGCCGCGACUCGGAAGGGAGUCUCGGUUGUUGCACGUGGUGGCAGAAAGCUCGAGGCGACAACUGCAUAUCAUGCAAGAGGGUUGAGUGAGGAGCUUACCGAUGGCUCUCUUGCAAGUUGUGCAGUUGCUGCCUCAAGCUUCCUGCCUCCCCUCGCCAGAACUAGUGAGUAACAUUCCAAAGUUCAAUGCUUUUUAUUGUUUUACACUGCUGGAUGUUUGAUAAAACGACUCGAAUACAGUAAUUAGCUUGGGAGGAAAAAAAAAAAGAAACAAAAAUUAAACAAAAUGCAAUUUGAAAAAGGUGAUAUAUAUAAAUGCGUAACAAUAUGUCAAGUAUAUCACAGGAAUAACAAAUUAGCAGCAUAUGUAUCUUAUAAAAUUGCUCAAUAUCUGCUGUUGUUGUAGCUUUAAUGUCUGGUGGUGAAUAUUGUACUGCCUAGAAAACUUUUGUUGUUUGAUAUGUUUCGAAGGGACAAGCGUUAUGCCUGCCUUGGUGAAAAGAGAAUAAAUUAAUGUUGUACUCAUGGAUUAAUUUCCUCACUAUAAUUAGUUUUGGCUUGAGUAUAAUGUGUGAAAUCAUUUGUGUUAUUCACCAUCUGCUUGCAAGUCUUCUAUCCAUACUUGUGUUUUGGAGUCAUGGAUUGCUAUCUACUACUAGACAGCUGAUAUCAUUAUGAGUGUUUUUCCUGGUGGUAUGUUGAACCAUUUUUCUGUGGUAAAUUGUCAUUUACAUAUCAAACGAAGUGAUUUUAAGAAAUAUCUGCAGUUUUGCCACGUCAAAUCUACAUUCAAUGAUUCUGGGAACCUAAGCAUCCAUAGCAAUUAAAUGGUGGAUAGAGUUUAUUAAUUAUUUUUCAGCUUCGCUUAAGAAUUUGUUUGAGAGAUUAAUUUCAAUGUGUUUUCAAUAAAUAUGCUAGUGUAACAUCUUAAAUGAUUGAUUAAUUAAAUUGUGCUUGUCACUCUGUGAUGUUAACUGAUACUCUGGUUGUUGGCAGCUUAUUAGCUAUAUGAGUUCCAACAGUCUUAAUGUGCCCUUUCAAAUUUAAAUAAUGUGUCGCAUGGUUUGAAGUUUGGCUGUACCUUCGGAAACAAAACUGAAAUGUUUCGGUGUCAGGGAGUGCCCAUCCAAACUAGUGCGUCGAAACAUUUGGGUUUUGGUCAUAAUGAGUCCAAGUGAAAAGAAGGCUUGUAGCUAAAUAGAAAAGCACAUUCUAGCAAGGAAAAACCAAGUGACACUGGAUUUAGUACAAAGUUGAAUGAUAAGCUACUCCAGCUAGACACGUUACUAAUUCAGUGGAAAGCAAUCACAAGGUAACAUCCAUGCUUACACGGUCAACUUCUGUUCGCGAGGAGCUUUUUCAGUAAUGUGGUUUGGAGGCCUUUGUCAAUUGGAAUUUGUGUUUUUCUUUCUCUUUUGUUUUCUUGUUGAUACCUUUUAUUUUAAUGAUCACAUCGUGCUAUCCAACUCGUUGCAAAUAGACGAUCUUAUGUUGUGUGGCAGAAGGCACCCUGUUUUUAAUUGUUGACAGCCGGAAUGUUAUGGUCAGGUGAAAAUUCCUUAUGCUAUUUGUGGUGUUUCCUCUUUGUUAAGAAUACAAAGACUUGGUUUGUGCUGUGAUCCAUCGUUACAUGCUGCUGUGUAUGAGGAAAACCAGAAAACAAAUGAGAAUUUCGAAGUGGAAGUGGCAGGUGGAAAGAUCAGUGUUGUAUACUAAGAUGCAGAGAAUAAGUGUGAUAUAAGUUCCCAAACAGAGUUAAAAUAGUAACAGAAAGGUUGUAGAAGACCGACCGUCCCUAGAGCAAGUGACAAAGGAUUUGAUGGUUGGUAUCCGAGAUCUAAAUUUGAAUUUUAGUUGAUUCACAUUUCUAGCUAAGUUUAUUUCUAAAUGAAAUAAAUGAAGCGCUGUACCUAUCUCUUUCAAAAAAAAAAAGAAGACAGGUUGUAGAAGCAAAAUACAACGGUCGAUGGUUCAGAACUUUAAUUGUUGGAGCGGGAAGGUUGAUGAUCUACGAGCCUUGAAGAAUAAGCUACUAUUUGGAGCUAUUGCUGACCGGGGUGACAGUGGAAAAGCUUCCAGUACUUUUUCAAACAGCCUUACUUUGAAUGAUACAUACCCCUAUGUAAAAGCUGCUUUUGGGAGGGAGAUGACCAUAAUCCUUUUGUGGACUACAAAAUGAAGAUGUUAAUGAGUGGAUUGUUAAUGGAUGGAUUGUGUGUGUACGCUUCUGUGCAGGAUGGUGAUGAUGUUUGGGUGGGUAUUCUUAUUUAUUGAUUGAAUACUCGUUGCAGAGGAAUCCGGGGUAGUACAGCGACUAGGUUUUUUUUUGAGAUAAGUUACUAGUUGUACAUUGUACCCUUUUUCUUAUAUGUACUGUUUCCCUGCCAUGUUAGUUAAUUUUGUCUAGAUUUUAAGUUUAGUUUAAUUUUGACC